rnacentral:misc_RNA from 1 species
AAGUCGUAACAAGGUUUCUGUAGGUGAACCUGCAGAAGGAUCAUUAGUGAAGAUUUGGGCAGGCCAUACGGACGCCAAAAAGUGUCCCUGGCCGCCUACACCCACUAUACAUCCACAAACCCGUGUGCACUGUCUUGGAGAAAGGCUUCAGAGAAGUUUUUUGUGGCCUCUCUUGGGGUCUUUCUUCGCUACAAACUCGAAUGGUUAGUAUGAACGUGGAACUUGGUUGGACCGUCACUGGCCAACAAACUAUACACAACUUUCGACAACGUAUCUCUUGGUUCUCC